GUGACUUCCAAGACCAGUUCGUAAAAGGCAUUGUGAUUUCCUCUUUGCUCUCCCUCUCUUGGAUUACUCACGUUGGGGGAAGCGAGCUGCCAUGUUAUGAAGACGCUUGAGCAGCCCUACGGAGGCUCCAUGUGGAGAGGAACAGAGGUCCUCUGCCAGUGGCCUUCACUAACUUGCAAGUAAUGUGAGUGAGCACCUGAGAAGUGAGUCCUCCAGUCCCAGAUAAGCCUUCAGAUGACUGCAGCCCUGGUAGACACUUUGCAACCACAGGAGAAACCCUAAGCCAGAACCGCCCAGCUAAGGCACUCCUGGAUUCCUGAGCUAUGCAACUCAGAGGUGUAAUUUCUGGGUCAUACAACAGCUCUACUUCAACAUUUUAAGGAACUGUUUGGCUAUUUUCUACAGUGGAUGUACCACCGUACCCUCUCACCAGCAGCGUAUAAGGGCUCCACUUCUCUGCAUCCAUACUAGCAGAAGUUUACUCAAUGGAAUGGGAAAAAAAACCCCAACAACAUCUAAGGUUAUGAAACGCCAGGCAUGUAAGCAUCCAAGCUCCAUUUGCUAUUUGCGUGUACUCAGGAAAGGUCACUUGAGCCCCUGGUAAAAGGCAGCCAUCUAUAAGCCAAGAAGAUAGCUCUCACUUGAAACCAACCCUGCUGGACCUUGAUCUGGGACUUCUAGCUUCUGGAACGAGAGGGCUGUUUAGAGAUGUGGAUUUGCUGGAAUGGUGAUGAAGUAUAAGGAGCAGAGCCCUGUUCCAGGCCCGGAGAGGGAUGCUAGCAAUGUGUUCACAGGGUCAUAUAUUUUUACAAAAUGUGCAAAAGUAAGAACCUUUAAUCACAAUUAGCAAAGACUGCCGUCUCUUUCCACUCUGCCCCUGCCCUGCAACACAAAUACUUUCCUUCCUGCAGGGUGGUGUUGACUGAUGGUGGACAUUUUAUUUUUCAUACAUUUUGUAUUCUUUUUCUUGAUGGCCCCGAAAUUGUAUACGUUUCAGGACCUAAAAUGUUGGAUAUACCUCUUGGUUUCUGAAUUGCAAAACAUGUACAGUUAAACAGUUUCUAAAAAUUGCUUUGUACUUAUAUAUUGUGCAUCAACUAUACUUCAAUAAGAAAAUAAAACAAUUGCUUUGUACCGUGAACUGAAUUUAUGUAUUAUGCACUGAUCUUAUCUGUUAAGUCAUGAGAAACUCAGAGCUAUGAAAGUUUCAGAAUUAGAGGGCGUCCAGUGAGCUCAAUCUGUUUCUGAUUGUAUGUGAUUCCCGGGGCUGUUUCAUCAGAACCCAUAAGUUCUCAAAAGGCCUGCCUUUCUGUGCUCAGGGACACUAUUCCUUAAAUUUUGGACACUUUUUGGAGAAAACGGCUGGCUCUUCAACAUUCACACUGACCCCUCAAUUAAGAGAGAAUCAAAUAAAUUUAGUCUACUCAACACAACACCUUUGGAGAAAAAAGGAAUGCAAAAUCUAUAGUAUUAAUCAGGUGGGUGACCGGCUCUACAAAGGACUGUGCCACUCUCUGAAUGUUUAUUCAUUUCACCUGUUGAUCAGAGGCAUUUAUUCUUCUUUUAAAAAACUUUCUGAAAUUUCAAAAUCAAAUCCGUGCCUGCUGUGGGGGCCCAGCAGAGUGACAAGCCCAGCGGCCACAGCUUCGGAACUGCAGCAGCACUCACACGGAGCCCCACCCCUCCAGGCAGCCAAUGACUAAACACUGCUGAGGUACCAGGGUGUGAGGGCUGGUCCGUCCUGCCUGACACGGGAUUCCUGGAAUGGACAACUUUUGUUGGGACACUCCCUAUCAGCUGGCAAGUCUUAGAACUUUCCGGAUUCUGAGGCUCUUUCUCGGCAACUGUUUCUUCCCUCUCUCCCGUCACAGGUGCAGACCUGAUCACAGUCUACCUGCGCUCCCAUCUAGUCCUCCUCCCUCCUUUCUCCUCCCUCCACCCUUCACAGGCUCUCCUCCCAUAAAUCUCUCAAAUAUCAAAGCCCAUCUUAGCAUCUGCCUCUCUGAGCAUCUGGUUUGGUGUACACGUACGUUGUUAAGAAUGAACUCAUCCAGAAGGGCUUCUACUGAGAGCAACUGUUCCCUGCCCCCUCCCCUUGGUUAAUCCCGUCCCUGUAGUUCUUCCAGUGGGCAACAACUUUUAAGUUACUCUUCUUUAGCUCUUUCUGGCAGUUACCUCCAUGUCUGUAAAAUAAUAUGU